rnacentral:rRNA from 1 species
AUUGAACGCUGGCGGCAGGCCUAACACAUGCAAGUCGAACGAGUGGCGGACGGGUGAGUAAUGUCUGGGAAACUGCCCGAUGGAGGGGGAUAACUACUGGAAACGGUAGCUAAUACCGCAUACCAUCGGAUGUGCCCAGGUGGGAUUAGCUAGUAGGUGGGGUAACGGCGCACCUAGGCGACGAUCCCUAGCUGGUCUGAGAGGAUGACCAGCAAAACGGGAACUGAGACACGGUCCAGAAUCCUACGGGAGGCAGCAGUGGGGAAUAGUGCACAAUGGGGUCAAGCCUGAUGCAGCCAUGCCGCGUGUAUGAAGAAGGCCUUCGGGUUGUAAAGUACGUUCAGCGGGGAGGCGUUACCCGCAGAAGAAGCACCGGCUAACUCCGUGCCAGCAGCCGAGGUAAGUC